rnacentral:rRNA from 1 species
UACGUAGGGGGGCAAGCGUUGUCCGGAUUUAUUGGGCGUAAAGAGCGUGUAGGCGGCCAGACAGGUCAGCUGUGAAAACUCGAGGCUCAACCUCGAGACGUCGGUUGAAACCGUCUGGCUAGAGUCCGGAAGAGGAGAGUGGAAUUCCCGGUGUAGCGGUGAAAUGCGCAGAUAUCGGGAAGAACACCCGUGGCGAAGGCGGCUCUCUGGGACGGUACUGACGCUGAGACGCGAAAAGCGUGGGGAGCAAACAGG